GCGGAGGUCGCCCAGCAUGGUCAAAGGCGUAGGACUGAGGCUCCUAUCCUUUAGAGGUUCGUGGGUUCAAAUCCCACCCUCCGCACCA
rnacentral:tRNA from 1 species